AACGAACGCUGGCGGCAUGCCUAACACAUGCAAGUCGAACGAGACCUUCGGGUCUAGUGGCGCACGGGUGCGUAACGCGUGGGAACCUGCCCUUAGGUUCGGAAUAACUCCCCGAAAGGGGUGCUAAUACCGGAUAAUGCCUUCGGACCAAAGAUUUAUCGCCUUUGGAUGGGCCCGCGUUGGAUUAUCUAGUUGGUAGGGUAAAAGCCUACCAAGGCGACGAUCCAUAGCUGGUCUGAGAGGAUGAUCAGCCACACUGGGACUGAGACACGGCCCAGACUCCUACGGGAGGCAGCAGUGGGGAAUAUUGGACAAUGGGCGAAAGCCUGAUCCAGCAAUGGCGCGUGAGUGAUGAAGGCCUUAGGGUUGUAAAGCUCUUUUACCCGGGAUGAUAAUGACAGUACCGGGAGAAUAAGCGCCGGCUAACUCCGUG
rnacentral:rRNA from 1 species